CUUAAGGCGAAAAGAAUCAAGCCUAUAGAGGGAGUACUCUAACAGAGAAAUAUAUUAUAAAGAUAUGAUCUCUGCUUUUUGCAGACCAGCAAAGAAGAGAGAAACUGAAAAAGAAGAUAGCCAGGUGUGAAAAAGAAAUGAAUGAGAGUAAAAAUGCCUCACGAUCCAGCUCAAGAGAGAGUGGAAGGCUGCUGUCAUUCUCUUUGGGAAAGAGUUCCUUAGAAGCAGAAGACAAUGACCGUCUCUUCCCCUGCGCUCAGCGGGCACAGUACUUGCCUAGAGCACUGUCACCUCCUGACGAGCAUGGCUUGGUUUGCUCCAGUCCKGUAAAAUAUGCCAGAAAAGAUUCUCGGAAUACAUCUAAUGCCUCUAACUCAAACUCAAGUGUCAGUACCUCAAGUCCAUUAAGAAAACCCUCUGGAGUUUCAUGCAGUUGCUCCACUGAUAGUUUUGUCGGCAUCGGUCAUUCUCAGAGGCGUCAAGAAACUAACUCCAAAGUAUACAGCAG
rnacentral:lncRNA from 1 species